AGCUUUUCAUCCCCCCCCAGAUUCCAUUCUCUCUGAAUUGUCAUCCAAAUGAGGGGAAGGACAAGAGCCAUGCUGGCAGAGCAUCUUCCUGCCUGUGUGGUACCUAACAACUCCGGGAGAAUUGCUGGCGUCUGAUGGUAGCAAUUGUAAGUUAGAAUCUGGCUCAGUCCUACUGUUGUCAGAGCACAAAACUGGGUGGCGUCUGAUCUGAAAACAUUUUUCCAGGCAGCAACAGCUGGCAGUUGGAUCUUCUGCUAACUGAAGUAUGGAAAGCAUUUCUACUAAGUCAUCUAUUAUCUAGACAAGACUAGAGAAGGCAGGCAUUCAUAGGUGAACAAUAGCAAUGGUGUAAGUUAAACAGAAUGCUUGAUGAAACUUGAAGAGUAACUGUAUGCUUCCUAAGUUCUAUUCUGUGUCCUUGAUCACAAAACUAAUUCUUUUCAAAAAAUACGUUUCAUGGGUGAUUCUAGAGAAAAGGAUAGUAGUCAACACAGGAAUAGCAGUACUUAGAAAACUGGGCAAGCCCUAGGUAUAACUUGGGGAAAGCCAGGAUAUCUCUAUACCGUUUAGAAUUAAUGUAUUAGAAUAGCAUGAAUAGAAUAGAACAACAUGAUCAUUCAACAUGGCAAGAAAAAAGCUCAUUUUUAUGGCCAAAACAGCACUCCACAUAAAAUUCUGACGUAUCAAUUUAUCAUUGUUAUUUGCUUCUGCUCUGGAUUUUGGUACUGAUGCUGUUUAUGCAUUUUCAAAAACAUCUUGAAUUAAUAUUCAGUGUUUACUAAGCCCGUUGGAUUUCCUGAUGGAAUUUGCAUUAGCUCAUAGCAGCAGAGGCCUCAGGAGAGCCAGUACCAAAGAAUUAAAUAGUAAAACAAAUGCUUUGAUGUGCUAAAAAAUAGGGUCUCCUUCAACUUUACUAUAUAAUCAUCCGUGAAAAGAAGCAAAAACAAAUAAGUCACAUCUAUUCUUUAUUCCAUUACUAAAUAAAACAAUGCUAUUCUUGUUAAGGGAAUAUUUUAAUGGCAAUGUAUUUGAAUACUAGAGAUUACUGAGUAUUCAACAAUUUUCCAUGAUGAAAUCUUCAGCCUCACCAUGCCUAUUACUAAAGGCUUCUGAAUCAUUUCAGCUAAGCCAAUUAUCCACAAAAGGAUGGGUUUGUAGCAUUAAAGUCAUUUUGGGAGAUUUGACAUUCAAGACUACCUUGGAAAGAAACCAUUUUUGGUAACGUUUUUUAUUACCUUCAAGAAGUCAUUUAAUUUGCCCGUGCCUGUUUUUUGUCUAGUAAAAGUCUUGUUUGUACAUAGUCUAGAUUGCUGCGGGGAAGAUUGGGUGCCAUUAUAUAAACUCAUAUCUCUACAGUAGAUGUUAGGUCUUGCCAAUUCUCUUUAUUACAGUCAUUUUCUUUCACAGAUAAAUUGUGAACCUUGACCUACCCAAUAUCGCCCUAAAAUUCCAUCAAAGUUAACGACUAUUUAUAUAUAAUGCUUUAUGUUGGUCUUAGCACAGCUGGCUGAUGUGGUUGCUGAGCAGCUCCAUCAUAUUCAAAAAGUUGUGGCUGUGAGCUGAAGUUCCUGCUGACUGGAAAAAGGGAAACAUCAUUCCCAUUUAUAAGACAAGGAGGAAGGAGGACCCAGGGAACUACAGGCUGGUGAGCGACUAGGAAGAUCAUGGAACAGAUCCUCCUGGAAGACAUGUUAAGGCACAUGAGGGAUGAGCAGGUGAUUCAAGAUAACCAGAACAGAUUCACCAAGGGCAGAUUGUGCAUCACCAAUCAGUGGACAAAGAGAAGGCAACGAUGUCAUUUACCUGGACUUCUGCAAGGCCUCUGGUGUGGUCCCCCACCACACCCUUGUCUCUAAAUUGGAAUGAUAUGGAUUUGAAGGGUGUGACCUAUAUGAUAAGGUUCCAGACCAAAUGGUUUGUAUAUUGUGGAGGAAUGUGAGUUUUCAGAAUCAGCUCUGAAUGUACGCAUUUCAGUACAAUCACAUAUCUUCAAAACACUUCAUGUCCUGAACAUAAUGGAAGAUACAAUUCAGUAUGGAUAACUUGCGGCUGCCUUGUUGACUGAGUCACAUUUUCUAGCCUCAGAAAGCUAGUGAUACUUCCCAUAGCAAUUUCUGAGUCUUUGAAUUAUACACUAGGAAAGCUCUUGGUCCAAUGUCCUCACCAAGAAAAUGUUAAGAAAUGGCUAUAAUAUUUUGUUAUAAUAUUUAUAUUUUGUAUCCCUUAAAAGGAUGUUUGGGUAAGUGUUCCACAUUCUCUGAACACCUUUCAUUGCUAAGUGAAAUUCUGAAAACUUAUAGUACGCAUUUCACACUCAUGAGUUAACAGUUUAACAGUGAUAUGCAAGUUAGUGAAUAAUGAAAGACACUGUCAAGUAUAUUUGAAAAUACUGAGAAAUUCAUGAAAUAAAUUAUUCUAUCAAUGUUACAGUACCUAUUUGUGUAGAUAUUUCUACCACCAGAGGUAUCCCUACCCCUCUAGGGUAACCAUAUUUUUAUUGUUAAAUCAUUAAUGAUGCUUUCAUGCAUGAGGCCUUAUGGAAUACUAC